GGAGAGUCCAAGGUCAGGAGGCUACAUCUGCUUGGCAUCUUUGGUUGGAAUGUGGGUAUGGUUGCUGGAGGUGAAAUAGCAAUUCUGAACCAGGAGCACAUUUUGGAAAUGAGGACACCACUGCACAACAACAGAGUAAAAGAAGUCUGUGUCCUGAAACCGUGAAACACCAUUCCAGUCCUGUAGCUCCUGCCUUAUUUUAACAAGAGACAGAAAGAAAUUCCUAUUUUACCUAAGGCCCUGUUAGUUUGAGCUUUCUCUAACUUUUGGCUGAUACUUAGCAAUCAGCAAGAAACUUUAUGAUUUUGUUUUUGCUCCUAGGUCUACCUGAAUGAAGGAAAAAGGUAUUUUAAUAUUGCAGAUUGA
rnacentral:lncRNA from 1 species